AGAGAUAACAUGGAAUAAUACAUCAAUAAUUGGUUAGGUGUUAAGUGGUUGCUUCAAUGCUCUGCCUACUGUAGGUGAUGUCACCGGGGCCAUGAGAGUCUCCCACGGUUUCCCGGCGCCAUUUUGGUGCACGAGGUAGUUAGUCGAUGUUAGAAGGGAGAAAGGAAGGGGGAGGGGGGAAGGAGCUAGAAGCUUCCAGCAGCCAUCUUGAUUAUAACGUGUGUACUUAGCUACAUAUAUAUAUAUCGUGAAAUGAGUAAAUAGGCAUUUUUCACUAACUAGGAAAUAUGUGUAGACCUUAUUUCCACAACAGUCCCCCCUAAAAUGGCUAUUUACC